rnacentral:sRNA from 1 species
GUGUGUGAGCUGCUUGCUGGUGCGGUGGUCAGCGCGAUGCCCAAGGCCAAGGGCAAAACCCGGAGGCAGAAGUUUGGUUACAGUGUCAACCGAAAGCGUCUGAACAGGAAUGCUCGACGGAAAGCAGCGCCGCGGAUCGAAUGGUGAGGAGGCUGGGGUUCCGGGUGGCGGUGGGCCUCGGCCGGGACGGUCCGCGAGGUGACGGAUCCGCGAUGUCUCUCUUUGCCGGUAGCUCCCACAUCCGACAUGCCUGGGACCACGCUAAAUCGGUGCGGCAGAACCUGGCCGAGAUGGGGUUGGCUGUGGACCCCAACAGGGCGGUGCCCCUCCGUAAGAGAAAGGGCUCUGUUCUCUGCAGGUGAAGGCCAUGGAGGUGGACACAGAGGAGAGGCCUAAAGAGCUUGUACUGAAGCCCUAUGUGCUGAAUGACCUGGAGGCAGAAGCCAGCCUUCCAGAAAAGAAAGGAAAUACUCUGUCUCGGGACCUCAUUGACUAUGUACGCUACAUGGUGGAGAACCACGGGGAGGACUAUAAGGCCAUGGCCCGGG